CGACCCAAUCGGGUAAAGGCUAAUCUGAUCGGGUUUCUCGGGUUUUUCUACGGUUUCGGAUUAUCCAAAACCUGACUAUUCUCAAUCGGGUUGGGGUUCGGAUAUUAAAUCACCACCCGAAAAACCCGAUCGGGUAUCUGAUUUAGAGAAGGGCAAAAAAGGGUAGGACGGGUAUUCCGUAUUCCAACUUCCAAGCAAAAGAAACCCUUCUUCUAGCUGCUGUUGUUGCCCGUUUCUGCGCCGUUGCUGCGCUGACCAGACGAACUCUCCUUCUUCGCUGCGGCCGUGCCACCCACCAGAAACUGACGACGUCUUUGUCUCCUUCUUCGUCGACAAUAGUCGUAUUUUUGCCAAUUUUCAGCAUUUUGCUGGGUCGAGGACUCGAGGAUGAAAAUGUGAUAUGAGCUGAUUGCUUUUUCAGUCUAUAGGCAUUACAAUUUAGGAGGCCUUAGCUUUAUUGUUGUUAUUGAAAUGAUUUACAAAAAUAUAUGAUAAUUUAUGGAUGUGAUUGAACUCUUUUUUUUGGAUAUUUAUGUAAAGCUUUAAGUA